GAGGGAGUCUGAGAGGGGGCUUGUCAAAGCGAACUUCAUGUUGGUGAAAGUUCUGGAGGGAGCCUUGCCACACCAGUUCGUCUAUAUAGGACAACAGAUUUUCAGGCCAGCGAAAGGUGUUAGCAAAAGUAGGGAAUGACCAGCUUUCCUCGAGAAGAACCUGAAUAAAUUGUUGGAGCCUGUCACAUGGAGAAUUCAUGCGGUAUUUGAUUUAAAGAGUUUCAGUUUGGUUGGGGGGAGGGAAGUGACAGUCCAAGUGGCCUGAUGUUGUGUAGGUGCCCUCUUAAGAUGGGAAAUAUGGUACCAGGAGGGAAGGCCUGUAAGUUUAGCUGCCGUCGGUGUUGUAAGAAUUACCAUGUAGGGGCCUUUCCACGGGGGGAGAGACCUCUUGCCUGGAGGUCUUUUACUAGUACCUGAUCUUCUGGGGUUAUUAUGGCUGGACUGUCUGGGCUGAGCGGUCCGGGCUUUGGAAGGCUGCAGUUGGCAUGUUCUCUUAGCAGCUCCCUUAACAGGGUGAGGUAGGGCAGGUACGUGCCAAGAGGUGGGGUAUUCACAGGGAGCUCUUGAAAGAGGAAGGGGCGCCUGUAUAGGAGUUCAAAGGGGCUAAGGCCUGUGGGGCUUUGGGGUGCUGCCCAGAGCCACGCGAGGGCAAAGGGAAGUAAGGUUACCCAAGAUUGGCGCGUCUCGAGAGCCAAUUUGAUUAGGUGUUGUUUGACAAGGCUGUUGGCGCGUUCCACUUUUCCAGAAGACUGCGGAUGGUAUGGAGUGUGUAACUUCCAGUUAACGUCAAGUGUGGUUGUCACCUGUUUGACUAUUUUGGAGAUAAAAGCAGGCCAAAUCUUGGGGUUAUCUGUUCGAUGAGGGUUGAAGCUACUACCUCUGCUGUUUUAUGAGUGGUAGGGCAGGCUUUAACCUAACCUGAGAAAGUGUUUACUAAAGUAAGAAGAUAAGUUGAUGUAUUUGCUUUAGUAAGGAAUAAAGGGAAGGAUGGUAGAUUAUGGGUUCAAGAAAGUUAUAUAGUGGUCUAGGCGGAAGGGCAGUGAAGGCGUCUGGCGGUAGGUGGAGGGAAUGCCAUCAAUCCUUAUAACAGAGAUUGAGGAGGGGCGGCUGGGUCUGCUAAAAGAUGGCAAAACAGAGUAGGUAGCCCUUGUGUCUAGUAAAAAGGAAAUGGACUUACCCGCUACCUGAAGCAUUACCCUGGGCUCGGCAAGGGUGAGAGGGGUUCCCAAGUCUGGGCCUCUUCAGUCGUCAUCCAGUUGGAGGAGCUGGAGGGCACCUUCGCCAUCCGAGGAGGGGUCGCCAUGUGGAGACACAGCGGCCGCUCCGAGGCCGGGGCAGUCUGACUUCCAGUGCCCCAUUUGUUGGCAGUUAGGGCACGGGCGUGUUGGCGGCUUGGGGUUUGGGCACUGUUUUGCCCAAUGACCUGGAUUGCCACACUUGAAACAGUUGCAAGGCAGGCAGGACGGUUGCUGUUGGCUAGGGCACCGGCUGGCCGUGUCCUGAGUUGCCGCACUUGAAGCAGGUGCCAGACGGGGCCUGGGAGAUCGUACCUCUACCUCUCCUGCUGGGGCUCUUAGGGAAUGCCGGUUGCAGGGCAGCUGCCAGGGCUUGGGUUUGGAGCUGAACUUUUUGUUUCAGUCUUGCCUGUCGUUGUACCUCAGCCGCCUCCUCUCGGGAAUUAAAAACUUUGAACGCCAGCUUUACUAAGUCCUGGAUAGGGGUUUGGGGGCCCUCCGCUGCCUCAUCCAGGAUUAGCGGAUAUCACUGCCCGCAGCGAAUGUGUUAGGAGUUGUAGAUGUAGUGGACUGGUAUGGCACUACAGGGAGGUGGAAAUAAGAAUGGGGGUAAGAUGGAAGCCAAGGAGUUAGGUGGGCAGGGUUAAAAGAACAAAUGGGAACUAACAGGAAUUAAAAUGGCGGCCAAAUGGCGGCAGAAGAACUAAAAUGGUGGCAGAGAAAAAAGGAAGUAAGAUGGCGGCGGUGAGGAAGCAGGUAGUAAGAUGGCAGUGGUGCAGAAGGAGAUGGCGGCGGAGAGACUAAGAUGGGGGCCGUGGACAAGAUUAAUGGCAAGAGAGGCUGGUCAGACUUCAAGGGGAAGGCUAGCCAGAGGGACUUGUGCCAGCGAAAACACUUGGCGGCAGCGGUCUGACGAGAGCGGAGGUCCCAGAACCUUUGAACAAAUUUGAUUUUUGACUAUUUGCCUCGCCUCUGACAAAAAUUGGUAAGGUCGUUUAGGAUAUUGAAGUUGAGUGUGCCUUCGGGGGGCCAGCGAGAUUGGUUGUCUAAGGUAUAUUGCGGCCAGGCAACUGUGCAGAAGAAAAUUAGUUGCUUUCGUUUUAAAUCUUGGUCGAGUUGUAAAGUUGGGAGGUUGCGCAGGAGGCACCCUAAGGGGGUGUUUUGCGUGAUUUUGGACUGGGUGGACCCCAUCCUCUUCCCUUUAUGGCAGCCGUCUGAGGGACAGCAGAAGCGUCCUUCUGGGGUCACUCAGACCACGCAGCUCCUGGAGCCUCGGAUCGGCUACUUCAGACACAGACGUCUCUGAGUCGUCAAUGCCGAUUUGGACUUCCCCUGGGGAAGUAAACUUGGGUCUCCUGGUGACCCGGACUGGCCUUCCCUUGAGGAAGGAAACUCUCCCUGGGUGUGCGCAUGACUCUCGGCCAGGGAGGAAUGGACAAAAGGAAAAAGGAGGGGUACUCACCCAGCGUCUGCCGAAUUGGACUGGAGUAGCUGCAGCAGCUGUGACCUGGCGGCAAGUAACCGGACGAAAUGGACCGAUGGCCGUGGAGGAGAAGCCUGACCUGACUGAGGGAGAGGCCUGAUCCGACCAGGAGGGGAGUCUUCCCGAGCCUCUGGGGGGCUUAGGAGGUGUCCCCUCCCGUGUUUCGGCACCAAUGAAAGGCAAUGGAAGGGCACCAUGGAUCAAUAAGGCGGAGAGGCGAGACAAAGAGGGCAAAAAUCUUCUUUAUUGAGCUCUCAGUGUUUUCCAAGCAGUGAAGCACUUGCCGUGUUGAACUGAAUGCACUACUGGAGAAUGUUCUGGGUCCAAGAUGCUCUUGAGAGAAGACUAGGCUUUUCAAAUCAAACACUCAAAGGAAUCAUGCAACCCUCUUAUGACUGGGAUGCCGUCAUGUGCCACUGACCAAUGCUAUCUCUCCAGAAAACCAUUCAAG
rnacentral:lncRNA from 1 species